rnacentral:lncRNA from 1 species
AGUUGGUUUAUUAAGAAUUCAUCUCUUCCUGCUGUUUACGGGUUGCCUAAAGUUCCACUCCCCCACAUGUGACAUCACCACCGAUGACUAGAUUGCGCCAACAUUCUGUAAGCGGCAGGUGAAAGAGGCAGCAAAGAAGCCACAAAGAAGUCUUAAGAGACAGCAAUGAUUGUCUUCGGCUCCUAUCUAUCCACAGAGUAAACUCAACCACCUCUUCUAUGCCCUGAAAGAAGCCCAGAUGGUUGUUUCUCAGCUGCAGGAAAAGGUGUACCCUCUCUAAUAGUCUACCAGUACCUGUGAUCACAUCUCCUUCAGCCCCUAUUUUCACCAUAGACACAACCAUGACUUCAACACUAACCCCAGACACACUAGGACUCUCCUCACAUCCCAUUUAAAGGUGAAGCACUCUCUCCUGCCUUCCUCCCG